GAUGAACGCUGGCGGCGUGCUUAACACAUGCAAGUCGAACGGGAAACAUUUUAUUGAAGCUUCGGCGGAUUUAGCUUGUUUCUAGUGGCGGACGGGUGAGUAACGCGUGGGUAACCUGCCUUAUACCGGGGGAUAACAGCCAGAAAUGGCUGCUAAUACCGCAUAAGCGCACGGAGCCGCAUGGCUCUGUGUGAAAAACUCCGGUGGUGUAAGAUGGACCCGCGUUGGAUUGGCUAGUUGGCAGGGCAGCGGCCUACCAAGGCGACGAUCCAUAGCCGGCCUGAGAGGGUGAACGGCCACAUUGGGACUGAGACACGGCCCAGACUCCUACGGGAGGCAGCAGUGGGGAAUAUUGCACAAUGGGGGAAACCCUGAUGCAGCGACGCCGCGUGAAGGAAGAAGUAUCUCGGUAUGUAAACUUCUAUCAGCAGGGAAGAUAAUGACGGUACCUGACUAAGAAGCCCCGGCUAACUACGUGCCAGCAGCCGCGGUAA
rnacentral:rRNA from 1 species